UACAGAGGUCACAAGCGUUAUCCGGAUUUAUUGGGCGUAAAGCGUUUCGUAGGUGGGUUCGUAAGUUAUUUUUCAAAGACCAGGGCUCAACCUUGGGAAGGGAGAUAAUACUGCGCGCCUUGAAAUAUGAUGGGGCAUCUGGAACUGAUGGUGUAGUAGUGAAAUACGUUGAUAUCAUCAGGAACUCCAAGGGCGAAGGCAGGAUGCUAAUCAUUUUUUGACACUGAGGAACGACAGCUAGGGGAGCGAAAGGG
rnacentral:rRNA from 1 species